CGGAGGAUGCGAGCGUUAUCCGGAAUCAUUGGGUUUAAAGGGUCUGUAGGCGGGUUAUUAAGUCAAGGGUGAAAGUUUGUUGCUUAACGAUAAAAUUGCCUUUGAUACUGGUAGUCUUGAAUUUUUGUGAAGUUACUGGAAUGUGUAGUGUAGCGGUGAAAUGCAUAGAUAUUACACAGAACACCGAUUGCGAAGGCAUGUGACUAACAAAGGAUUGACGCUGAGAGACGAAAAGCGUGGGGAGCGAACAGGAUU
rnacentral:rRNA from 1 species